CAAGACCAAAGAGGGGGACCUUCGGGCCUCUUGCCAUCGGAUGUGCCCAGAUGGGAUUAGCUAGUAGGUGGGGUAACGGCUCACCUAGGCGACGAUCCCUAGCUGGUCUGAGAGGAUGACCAGCCACACUGGAACUGAGACACGGUCCAGACUCCUACGGGAGGCAGCAGUGGGGAAUAUUGCACAAUGGGCGCAAGCCUGAUGCAGCCAUGCCGCGUGUAUGAAGAAGGCCUUCGGGUUGUAAAGUACUUUCAGCGGGGAGGAAGGGAGUAAAGUUAAUACCUUUGCUCAUUGACGUUACCCGCAGAAGAAGCACCGGCUAACUCCGUGCCAGCAGCCGCGGUAAUACGGAGGGUGCAAGCGUUAAUCGGAAUUACUGGGCGUAAAGCGCACGCAGGCGGUUUGUUAAGUCAGAUGUGAAAUCCCCGGGCUCAACCUGGGAACUGCAUCUGAUACUGGCAAGCUUGAGUCUCGUAGAGGGGGGUAGAAUUCCAGGUGUAGCGGUGAAAUGCGUAGAGAUCUGGAGGAAUACCGGUGGCGAAGGCGGCCCCCUGGACGAAGACUGACGCUCAGGUGCGAAAGCGUGGGGAGCAAACAGGAUU
rnacentral:rRNA from 1 species